UCUAAGAGCUUCCUCCCUGGUCAUUUCUCUGGCUUCAUAAACAUCACUCAGACAGCACUCAGUGUGGUUCUUCGUCCAUCUUCGCUCCCUCCCACAUUCUUCCCCAUACUUACGCUGCAUGCCUCUCCCUCAGUGUUCCUCUCCCUCCCUCACUUCUUUCUUUUUCACCCCAUCUCUGUGUUCGUUGCUGACAGCUCUGCUCCUCAGGAGCACUGAGGGGAGCAGAGAAAACAAAGAUUUGGUUCAGUGGCUCUGAUCUUGAUUUUCUGCAGAUUGGAUGGAAGAUUAGGAGGAGCUUUUAUUCAUACACCACACAAUCACUUCCCCUGCAACUGAAAACCAUGACUACAGACCACAGGGGUUGCACCUAUCAGCACAAAUGUGCCAUCUGUGACAAGGUGAUGGCCGAAGGCUUGAGUGGGCACAGCAAGCACAAAACGUUUCCGGCAAAAAUAGUGAGAGUGAGAGGGAAGAAAAGACAAGGAGAGAUACCAGGCACACACUCAGUCUCUCCUCUUUCAUCUCUCUGGCUUUAUUUCUGCUUUGAUUUU